GAUGAACGCUGGCGGCGUGCUUAACACAUGCAAGUCGAACGGUGAAGGCGGAGCUUGCUCUGCUGGAUCAGUGGUGAACGGGUGAGUAACACGUGAGCAAUCUGCCCCUGACUCUGGGAUAAGCGCUGGAAACGGCGUCUAAUACUGGAUACGAGCUGCGAAGGCAUCUUCAGCAGCUGGAAAGAAUUUCGGUCAGGGAUGAGCUCGCGGCCUAUCAGCUUGUUGGUGAGGUAAUGGCUCACCAAGGCGUCGACGGGUAGCCGGCCUGAGAGGGUGACCGGCCACACUGGGACUGAGACACGGCCCAGGCUCCUACGGGAGGCAGCAGUGGGGAAUAUUGCACAAUGGGCGAAAGCCUGAUGCAGCAACGCCGCGUGAGGGACGACGGCCUUCGGGUUGUAAACCUCUUUUAGCAGGGAAGAAGCGAAAGUGACGGUACCUGCAGAAAAAGCGCCGGCUAACUACGUG
rnacentral:rRNA from 1 species